rnacentral:lncRNA from 1 species
GGGAACUUGCGCGUGGGAGUGGGCGCGCUCAGCCGUUGGGAUCCCCUCCCCCCUAACGGUGGCCAUAAGGGAGCCAGGCAAGGCGUGAGGAUGCGCCCAGAAGUGACCACAGCCUCCGAACAGGGUCUGGGAGGACAUGGUAAAGCGCGGGAGGAAGGGCAGAGACGCGCGUCCGGAGCCGCUCCUGACCUCCACGCCUGGGUAGCCCAGGCUAGAGAAGCAGCCGCGCGUGGACGAGGCCUCCGGGAACCUGGCCGGCCUCGCGGGGCUCCAGCCCGGCGUCCUGGCGGGGCUCUCGAGAAGGCGCGCACCCUGCAGCAGCCAGGGACCCACCACGGCGCCAUGCUGGGCCUCUCAAGGGGGCGGGAGGGCGCCAGGCCUGCAGGGGGCACUGCAGCCUGGACGGAGAUGGGGUGGCCUGGACCCGGUGAGCAGGCGGGAGCACGCGGGGCCUACAGGGAGCGCUGCAGCCUGGACAGAGACGGGGCAGAUGGGGACCCACGCUGAAUGGGCUUAGGCUGGUUCCAGGAUCCGGGACCCAGCGCUCAGCCCUGUGCCUGCAGAAGUUGCCUUAGUGGGAACAGCCAGCUUCAGACUUUGUAAAAAUGACUGGCUGCCUCUCGUGGACUGACAUUUGUUGCACUGCAUUUAGGACAGUAUGCCCCUGGGGAUUGAUACCCCUUUGCUUCCAUCUUGCUGGAGAGUUUUAGUAUCUACAAUUGCAGGCUUUUAAAAAUGUAAGCCCUGGAAGGUAUUUCCUGCUCCAUUUACAGCCGUUGUUUUCUGUAACUUGAGAGAAAACUCAAAUGCUGCUAUCUCAGUGACACCAACUGUGAGUGACACCAGCCUUGUUCUGGCGGCUGCUGAUAUGAACGGGGAUGUGGAUGGAUGUCUCUCAGUGCAAGUUAUUGCCACUGCUUUCCACCGAGUGUCGUCUGGCUGGGGGCGUGGUGUGAGAACCUGUCCUCAAUGUGGUAUGGAGAUUUUAACAGCUGUGUUAAAAUGCCCACAGACACAUCCGCAGCCAGAGUCAUCAGGAUUUGGAAACCAUUUUCCCAAAUCCAAGCUCCAACCCGCUGGGGUCUGUCACACGGAAGACACCUGAUGAGAGUUGCAGUGAUGACUGACCGUGGCAGUGUUUCUGUAGCUCAGAAGAGGGAAAUCGUACUUCAGGUGGAAACGGGAAAGGAGAUCAGCAAAGACUUUCAGGAAAAGCCCCAUGCUAUCCUGGGAAACAGCAGCUUUCCAGUGCUAGAAGGCAGACUGAGCUUGCAGCUCUUCAUAAAAUCCCACACUGGAGGGCAUUGUUUCUGAGAAUCUGUCUCAGGGCUUGGUACAGCCUUGGUCAUGGGUGAGUGUGGGGCCAUCUCUGGUGCCUGGGUCUGGGAGCUCAGGAGAGCUGACAGUUCUUUGGAGCUAGAGGUGAGGGGGGCUUUCAGAUGCACUACUGAGGAAGUGCUUUUCUGCCUUGAACAAUCUGCUGAUGAGC